CGCUGGCGGCAUGCUUAAUACAUGCAAGUCGAACGCUGAAGCACUCUGCUUGCCAGAGUGCGGAUGAGUGGCGAACGGGGUGAGUAACACGUGGGGAAAUCUGCCUAGGAGUGGGGGAUAACAUUCGGAAACGGAUGCUAAUACCGCAUAUCUUUUNGAACCGCAUGGUUCUUAAACGAAAGACGGCUUCGGCUGUCGCUCUUAGAUGAUCCCGCGGCGUAUUAGUUAGUUGGUGGGGUAAAGGCCUACCAAGACCAUGAUACGUAGCCGACCUGAGAGGGUGAUCGGCCACACUGGGACUGAGACACGGCCCAGACUCCUACGGGAGGCAGCAGUAGGGAAUCUUCCACAAUGGGUGAAAACCUGAUGGAGCAAUGCCGCGUGAAUGAAGAAGGUCUUCGGAUCGUAAAGUUCUGUUAUUAGAGAAGAACAAGUCAAGGAGUAACUGUCUUGACUUUGACGGUACCUAACCAGAAAGUCACGGCUAACUACGUGCCAGCAGCCGCGGUAAUACGUAGGUGACAAGCGUUGUCCGGAAUUAUUGGGCGUAAAGGGAGCGCAGGCGGUUGGAAUAGUCUGAUGUGAAAGCCCACGGCUUAACCGUGGAAGGUCAUUGGAAACUGUCCAACUUGAAUGCAGAAGAGGUAAGUGGAAUUCCAUGUGUAGCGGUGAAAUGCGUAGAUAUAUGGAGGAACACCAGUGGCGAAGGCGACUUACUGGUCUGUGAUUGACGCUGAGGCUCGAAAGCGUGGGUAGCGAACAGGAUUAGAUACCCUGGUAGUCCACGCCGUAAACGAUGAGUGCUAAGCGUUGGAGGGUUUCCGCCCUUCAGUGCUGGAGUUAACGCAUUAAGC
rnacentral:rRNA from 1 species